AACCGCCGUAUACGGAACCGUACGUACGGUGGUGUGGGAGGACGGCGGAGGUAACUCCGCCUCCUACCCGAU
rnacentral:ncRNA from 1 species